GCCAGGCGCGGUGGCUCACGCCUGUAAUCCCAGCACUUUGGGAGGCUGAGAUGGGCGGAUCAUUUGAGGCCAGGAGUUCGAGACCAGCCUGGCCAACAUGGUGAAACCCCAUCUCUA
rnacentral:SRP_RNA from 1 species